AAAGCACAAAUCGAACCGUGAGUGUGACAGGUUAGCCAGGCAGCGCCCUCGCUAUGUCGGUAGUGAGGUGGUGCAGUCUUCCACUCGUCAGUCGUAGUCAGCCACUGCAACCUAAAAUGUGUGUUCGCCGAGGAGUCGUAGCUACAAAAUGUACUGCUAUUUUUCAAACUUGUUUCAGACUCUAGCGACAAGUAGCCAUGUCUGCCAACAGGAAGCGAGGGUGGUGUGUUUGGAUUUGGAAGACAUUUAUGUGGUGGACAGUUUUCCAUGUUAUACCAAAAAGUCGAGGCACCCACCAGCACCGCCACCACUUCCCAGAGGUAUUUUCCGAGGAGGACCGCCUCAUCAAGUACCUACUACGUAUCAACUCGGUACGCUCCCUAUACAGUAGACCAGUGCUGAAUUAUUCUGAUUCUGUAAACGUGAAAUUCGGAUUACAACUCAUACAAAUCAUGGACCUAAACGAACGGGACCAAGUGCUCACCCUGAACGUCUGGUCUCAUUACGAAUGGGUAGAUGUUCACCUACGAUGGAAUGUGAGUGAAUACAAAGGUGUAGAGGAGGUUCAUAUGAAACCAACCGAGCUAUGGACACCGGAUAUCAAACUUUACAACUAUGCUGACGACAGACUGACUGAGAACCGGGAUGCGAUGUGCGUGGUGAGGUAUGACGGUACCAUAACGUGGCUUCCACAGGCCGUCUACAAAAGUUCGUGUAACGUAGACGUAGCUACAUUCCCCUUCGACAAGCAACACUGUCACCUCAAGUUCGGUUCAUGGUCCUACGACGGAUUUAAACUGGACCUCCAUUUUGUAAAUGCCAGUGAAAUGACUAUGGACGAUUACUAUGUGAGUAACGUGUGGGACGUCAUAGAAACACCGGCUCAGAGAAAUGUCAUGAAAUACGUGUGUUGCCAAGCGCCCUUUAUCGACCUCACGUUUUCUAUAACCAUCAGAAGAAGAGCCACCUUCUAUGCUUACAUCCUCAUUCUACCCUGCGUGUUGCUGACGUCACUUACUUUGGUCCUUUUCUGGAUCCCGCCGGAAUCACCGGCAAAAAUGCAACUUGGAAUGUCCAUAUUUAUGGCUUUCUUCGUCUUACUGUUGUUGUUUGAAGGCAAUCUCCCUCCUGCAGCUAACGCGGUUCCCGUCCUAGGAACGUAUUAUUGCCUGAAUAUGGUACUAAUUACUCUUUCAUCAUUCCUCAACGUUUUUGUGGUUAACAUUUCCUUCAUCGGAGCGAGGGCAGCUGUCCCCUACAUGUUGAAAAGGGUGAUGUUUUCAUUCGUGGCGAGGGUCGUGUGUAUGGAAAACCUCGUCUUGCCUUUCAAAGACGAUAGUCAAGUGACGUGCCCACCCUCGCGCAGAUGUAUGAUUGGCAAUGGCGAGAAUAAGUGGGCGCCCCCUAACAACUGGAGGGGGUCGUCAGAGAUGACAGCCAACGCCCAAACCGAGACUGUUCAGAACCCUCAGUUGGCCGAGAUACACGCAAAACUUAACGAAAUACGAAAUUUCAUCAAAAUGUAUAAAGAAAGACUAGAAGAAAAAGACAGAAAAGAGAAAAUGGCCAAAGAGUGGAAGGCUUUAGCGCUGGUGUUCGACAGAAUAUUCUUUAUAAUUUAUAUAUCAACUAUCACUGUGUCUCUGUGCGUGGUCCUUCCCAUCAUAUUUAGUAGUUGAUAUUUAUGUUUAGGCGUCAACCACGGGAUCAACUCAAUUAGAGGGAUAUAUCAAGUGUUAAUAUGUCUACAUCAUAUAAAAAAAAAUAGUGUAUAAAGUUUUGCGUCUCACCAAAUUGUUUCAUUCUGUAAUCCGGAUUAUUUUGGCGUGCUGUAUUUUUAUAUGAAUCAUCUUCAAAUUAUAAAUGUUGCCAUCGUUAAUUAUGUUUACAUAUUCACUUACUAUGUUAAAAAGACUUGUAAAGGCCAGCUGUACAGUAGUUUAUCAGAAUGGACAGUAGAAACUGUUAAAUCAUACUAUACCUUAAUACGUGUAAUGGGUGGUAGGACAGAUAGCGAGGCCCAACAUCGGACUGUUAUUAGUGUAGGCAUCGGGUCCACUAGUGGAAUGGGGGUUGGGUGGAACCUCACCGUGAUAAAGGGAAAGUGAAGCAAAUUCUGCGGUGUCGGGUGGGAGCAGAGCGUUGUGGGCGGUGCCACCUGUACAUAGACAUUUCCAGCAACGGUUGCUAUACCAGUAACGCUGCGAGACAGGUGUGAUACAUUGUAUACCGUUGAGCUACCAUGUUUAAUUCACCAUAGACGUAUUUGUACAUGUAUUUUCAACUCAAUCGCGUGGUUUCGUUACCUUACGGACAACCUUUACUCAUUCGGUCUGUAUUAAGAAGGUAAGGGAUGGGAGCGAACCCUGUUAAAGUGGGAGUCAUUGGUUGAAACAAGUGUAGACUCGGUUUUAUCUGCUCGGUGAAACAUUAAUUUGUGAAUGAAUGUUAUCAAAGUAUUAAAAUUGUAAAGUCAGCACUGGCUAGGAAAAAACUUUAAAAUGAGUGUAAAAACAAAUGUAAGUCGUUGUAAAUGUUUUCCUUGUUUACAAGGGCCGACAACCCUGUUUGCCAAAAAUAUUCGUGUAAACCUACGUUGUAUUUGUCUCACUGUCGCUCAUAAAGAUGGAGGUUUCAGGUUUACCAUAUAUUACUGUUGACUAGUAUUAUGUUGUUUCUAAGUGAUAAAAUGUAAGCCGGAAGUUCGUGUUCCGAUUUAUUACUACACUGUUCGGUAGUACCGGAAGCUCAUGUUCCGGUUUAUUACUAUACUGUUGGGUAGUACCGGAAGCUCAUGUUCCGGUUUAUUACUACACUGUUGGGUAGUACCGGAAGCUCAUGUUGCGGUUUAUUACUACACUGUUUGGUAGUACCGGAAGCCCAUGUUCCGGUUAAUUACUACACUGUUGGGUAGUACCGGAAGUCCAUGUUCCGGUUUAUUACUACACUGUUCGGUAGUACCGGAAGCUCGUGUUCCGGUUUAUUACUACAGCGUUGGGUAGUACCGGAAGCUCAUGUUCCGGUUUAUUACUACAGCGUUGGGUAGUACUGGAAGCUCAUGUUCCGGUUUAUUACUACAUGUGUAAACCGUUGGGUAGUACCGGAAGCCCAUGUUCCGGUUUAUUACUACACUGUUGGGUAGUACCCCGAUACUGCUGUUGUUACUUACGUUCUAGUUGAUAUUCAAAUAAUUUAUUGAUACAUUAUGUAGUUCCUGACUUCCAUAUAUAAAAUAAAAUGGUGUACAUCUUGUGACGUAGUGAUUUCGCGAGAGCGCUCGACCUCGGUUGACCUCGAGACGAAAACACUCUGUACAUGCGAUGCACCAUUUGCCUAUGCAAGCAUCCUUUUGUACAUAUGUAUAUUGUACUGGGCGUUGGUCAACGAAUGGUGUUGCUGAACUACACUGCAUUAGGUGGGCUUUCUCCUCCCUACCGUGCACUCACGUGCUGUCACGAUUCACGAAUAUAUUAUAUACCAUGUAAUGUCUGUGUCGUCAGUGCAAACACACACGACUUUUUACCACGAAAUUUACCAUUACGGUAUUCCCCUAGUUCUUAUCGAAUUCAUGCCACCUUGUUAUAUAUUAAUAGAUCUAUAUUCUGUGCCACUAAUGUUGGGACUAAUUGUCUGUGGCAUACCCUAUAUGAUAGAUAUUAAAUAGCGCGCCUCGUAAGGGGCCAUUCCGUUUUUGAACGAAUUACAUGUAUAUAUUGCUUUCUGUAUUUCUGUAGUUUGAGUACGGCAUAAUAUUUUUUUUUUCAAAUGACCAGCCAAAAUAGGGAUUUAUUCUAUUUUUAUAUUUGUAGGUGAACUUUUGAAUUUAAAUAGUUUACAUUAUAAAUCAUAAUAAUGUAAUAUCAAAUUCUCUUAAUCAAGCUGUAUGACUGGUGAGUGGCAAUAACAUGCAUACAUGUGCUAGGUGUAUCUAAAUUAAAAUGGCUGACAUACCAAAACGAGAUGACAGUUGGCACUAACAUACAACUCAAACUGUCAUUUAACAGUGUUGAGGCAUAAAGUACAUAUAUUUGGUGACAUGUGUGAGGCUGUACAUUGAUACAGUUUGACACCAGAGUGAAAAGCUGUCUGUACGACACCAGAGUACAAUGUUGUCUAUAUCACACCGGAGUGAAAAGCUGUCUGUACGACACCAGACUACAAUGUUGUCUAUAUCACACCAGGGUACAAAGCUUUAUCUGUACGACACCAGGGUACCAUGUUGUCUGUACGACACCAGAUUACAAUGUUGUCUGUAUGACACCAGAGUACAAUGUUGUCUGUACGACACCAGGGUACAAUGUUGUCUGUAUGACACCAGAGUACAAUGUUGUCUGUAUGACACCAGGGUACAAGGUUGUCUGUAUGACACCAGGUUACAAUGUUGUCUGUACGACACCAGGGUACAAUGUUGUCUAUAUCACACCAGGGUACAAAGCUGUCGGUACGACACCAGGGUACAAUGCUGUCUAUAUCACACCAGGGUACAUGGCUAUCUGUUUGACACCAGGGUACGAUGUUGUAUGUAUGACACCAGGGUACAAUGUUGUCUGUAUGACACCAGGGUACAAGAUUGUUUGUAUGACACCAGGGUACUAGGUUGUCCGUAUGACACCAGGGUACAUGGCUGUCUGUACGUCACCAGGGUACAAGGUUGUCUGUAUGACACCAGGGUACAAGAUUGCCUGUAUGACACCAGAGUACAAAUCUGUCUGUAUGACACCAGGGUACAAGGUUGUCCGUAUGACACCAGGGUACAUGGCUGUCUGUACGUCACCAGGGUACAAGGUUGUCUGUAUGACAGCAGGAUGCAAAGCUGUCUGUAUGACACCAGUAUCAAAUUCUGUAUGUAUGUCACCAGGGUACAAGACUGUCUGUAUGAGAACAAAGUACAAUGCUGUCUGUUUGACACCAAGGUACAAGGCUGUCUGUACGCCGCCAGAUUACAAUACUGUCUGUACGACACUAGGGUACAAGGUUGUCUUUAUGACACCAGUGUACAAGGUUGUCUGUAGGACACCAGUGUGCAAGGUUGUUUGUAUGACACAAGUGUACAGGGCUGUCUGUAUGACACCAGGGUACAAUGCUAUAUGCAUAACACCAGGGUACAAGGCUGCCUGUAUGACACCAAAGUACAAGGCUAUAUGCAUAACACCAGGGUACAAGGCUGCCUGUAUGACACCAAAGUACAAGGCUAUAUGUAUAACACCAGGGAACAAGGCUUUAUGAAUGACACAAGGUUACAAGGCUGUCUGUAUGACACCAGUGUACACGGCUAUCUGCAUGACACCAGGGUAAAACGCUGUCUUUAUGACUCCAAAAUAAAAUGCUGUCUGUAUGACACCAGGGUACAUAGCUAUAUGUAUGACACCAGGGUUCAAGGUUGUAUGUAUGGCACCAGGGUACAACCUUGACUGUACGAUACCAGUGUACAAGGUUGUCUCUGUGACACGAGGGUACAAAGGUUUCUGUGUGACACAAGGGUACGAGGCUAUAUGUAUGCCGCAUGGGUUCAAGGUUGUAUGUAUGAAACCAGGGUACAAGGCUGUCUAUAUGAUACCAUUGUACAAGUUUGUCCGUAUGAUACCAGGGUACAAUGUUGUCUGUAUCACACCAGGGUACAAAGCUGGUCUGUAUGACACUUAGUACAAGGCUGUCUGUAUGAAACCAGGGUACAAUAAUGUCUGUAUGACACAAGGGUACCAUGCCGUCUGUAUACAAAUUAAAGUACAAGGCUGUUUGUAUGACAACAGGGUACAAAGCUGUCUAUAUUAUACCAGGGUAAAAUUUUGUCUGUAUGGCGCUAAAGUACAAGGCUGUCUGUAUGACACCAGGAUACAAGGUUGUCUGUAUGACACCAAAGUACAAGGGUGUCUGUAUGACACAAGGGUACAAGGCUGUCGGUAUGAUACCAGACUAACAUGUUGUAUGCAUGACACUAAAGUACAAGGCUAUCUGUAUGACACCAGGGUACAAGGCUGUAUGUAUGAUUCUAAAAUACAUGGCUGUCUGUAUGACACCAGGGUACCAUGUUGUCUGUGUGACACUAGGUACAAGGCUGUAUGUAUGAUAUUAAAAUACAAGGCUAUCUGUAUGACACCAGGGUACAAGGCUGUAUGUAUGAUACUAAAAUACAUGGCUGUCUGUAUGACACCAGGGUACCAUGGUGUCUGUGUGACACUAAAGUACAAGGCUAUCUGUAUGACACCAGGGUUCCAUGUUGUCUGUGUGACACUAAAGUACAAGGCCAUCUGUAUGACACCAGGGUACAAGGCUGUAUGUAUGAUUCUAAAAUACAUGGCUGUCUGUAUGACACCAGGGUUCCAUGUUGUCUGUGUGAUACUAGGUACAAGGUCAUCUGUAUGACACCAGGGUACAAGGCUGUAUGCAUGACACCAGGGUACAAGGCUGCAUGUAUGAUUCUAAAAUACAUGGCUGUCUGUAUGACACCAGGGUACCAUGGUGUCUGUGUGAUACUAGGUACAAGGCUAUCUGUAUGACACCAGGGUUCCAUGUUGUCUGUAUGACACCAGUGUACAAGGCUAUCUGUAUGACACCAGGGUACAAGGCUGCAUGUAUGAUACUAAAAUACAUGGCUGUCUGUAUGACACCAGGGUAUCAUGGUGUCUGUGUGACACUAAAGUACAAGGCCAUCUGUAUGACACCAGGGUACAAGGCUGUAUGUAUGAUUCUAAAAUACAUGGCUGUCUGUAUGACACCAGGGUACCAUGCUGUCUGUGUGACACUAAAGUACAAGGCUAUCUGUAUGACACCAGUAUACAAGGCUGGCUAUUUGGCACCAGCGAUUAUCUUGAUGACACGAGCUACAAACUGUCUUUAUUAUACCGGAUACAAUAUGAUCUGUAGGACGCCAUGUUACAUGGUAAUCUGUACGAUUCUGGGUUCUUAGACAGUCUUUUGUACAUUGCAAUGUCAAUGACAUAACAUUAUACAUUGUAUGUAAAUGUGUAUGUCACUGACGUAGCAUGAUACAUUGUAUGUAAAUGUGUACGUCAAUGAUGUACCGUUAUACAUUGUAUGUAAAUGUGUACGUUAAUGAUGUACCGUUAUGCAUUGUAUGUAAAUGUGUAUGUCACUGAUACAACGUUAUGCAUUGUAUGUAAAUAUGUACGUCACUGAUGUAACGUGAUGCAUUGAACAUGUAUAUACAUGUGUAUGUCACUGAUUGAACCAGUUACAUGGUAUGUUUGUCACUGAUGUAAUGUAAUACAUUGUAUGUAAAUUCGUCUGUCAAUGAUCUAACUUCAUAUAUUGUAAAUGUCUGUAUCACUGGGAUGACAUCAUAUGACAGGUCAUAUGAUCAGGUCACUAUAUGCACCGUAAGAUAUCGGCCACUAAAUGACAUGAUACACUGUCAUUUAAUGUUAAUAACAAUUUUCUAGCCUCAUACAAUGUGUGCCAUUGAUUUAACAUAAAACAAUUGAUACACUAUAUGUGUGUAUGUCUAGGUCAUUGAUUUAGCAUGCUACACUGUUUGUGAGGAUCGAACAGUGUAUGUAGAUGUAAACGUCGCUGAUCUAAUGUCAAUUACUGUUUGUAAAGGCUAAAGGUCAUCGAUUAAACAGUAUACACUGUGUGUAAAAGUUAUGGUCACUGAUCGGAUGAAGUUAUUCACUGUAUAUAAUGUUAAAUGUCACUGAAUAAACAUGAUAUACACCGUGUUUGAAUGUCUACGUCACUGAUAUGAUGACGUAAUGCACUGUAUGUAAAGGUUAAAGGUCACUGAUCUAGCACAUAUGAUAUAUACUAUAUAGAUGUAAAAAUUAUCAAGCUACAUAAAAUCUACAUGUUUAUGUAAAUGAUUUACAUAAAACACCUAUAUUAAUGUUCACGGUCAUGAAUGUGUGUGUCACUGAUCGAUUAGGAUACAUUGUGUAAUACGGUCCGCAUUACUUAGCGGAAUAUAAACGUUCCCUGUCGUCGUUAAUUAGUCUGUAUCUGGUCAUGCAUGAUAUAAUGGCGGCCUAAACAACGUAAUGCUAUUAUUUGAUGGUCACGUGAGAUUAAAAACACAUACAACUAUGAAGAGUACAAGGAAUGAAUAUCUGUGUCGAAACAAUGGGCCCUGUUUCUAUUCCUCUGUCCAUGGAUAGGGCAUUGUUCUGUCUACUGUACUACAUAGGAAAGUGCAGCGAAAUGGCGUGGUUCUUUCUUCUCAGCUGUCACAGGGUCGAUCGUGUUUUUUGUUUAUACAAUGUAAUUUUCUGUCAUAAGAAGGGACCAGGGACUCACUUAGCACAGGGAGGGACGUGGUAUUUAUAUCUACGUGUUACAGGAAGAGACGUGGUACAAUGUACUUGUAUCUACCUGUUACAGGAAGGGACGUAGUACUUGUAUCUACGUAUUACAGGAAGGGGCGUGUUACUUUUACAUAUGUAUCUACCUGUUACAGGAAGGGACGUGGUCCUUGUACAUCUGUAUCUACCUGUUACAGGAAGGGACAUGGUAAUCUACAUUGUUACAGGAGGGGACGUGAUACUUGUACAUCUGUUUCUACCUGUUACAGGAAGGGACGUGGUACUUGUACAUCUGUAGCUACCGGUUACAGGAAGGAACGUGAUACUUGUGCAUCUGUAUCUACCUGUUACAGGAAGGGACAUGGUACUUGUACAUCUGUAGCUACCGGUUACAGGAAAAGACAUGGUACAAUCUACAUCUGGAUCUAUCUGUUACAGGAAGGGACGUGGUACAUGUACAUCUAUAUCUACCUGUUACAGGAAGGGACGUGGUACAUGUUCAUCUGUAUCUACCUGUUACAGGAAUGGACAUGGAACAUGUACAUCUGUAUCUACCUGUUACAGGAAGGGACGUGGUACUUGUACAUCUGUAUCUACCUGUUACAGGAAGGGACGUGGUACUUGUACAUCAGUAUCUACCUGUUACAGGAAGGGACAUGGUACUUGUACAUUUUAUCUACCUGUUACAGGACGGGACGUGGUUCAUGUUCAUCUGUAUCUACCUGUUACAGGAAGGGACGUGGUACUUGUACAUCUGUAUCUACCUGUUACAGGAAGGGACGUGGUACUUGUACAUCUGUACAAAAUGUAACUACCUGUUCACAGGAAGGGACGUGGUACUUGUACAUCUGUAUCUACCUGUUCACAGGAAGAGACUUGGUACAUGUACAUCUGUCUCUACCUGUUAUAGAAUUUAAGAAAGGUACAUGGUGUACUUAUAUCCACCUGUUAUAUGAAGGGGCGUGGUUCCUGUGUCUGCACGUCACUUUUCUGUUGAGGAAUAGGUACCAUUUUAACUGUCAGCUCGUCACCUCUUUGUAUUAAGGCGAGUGUAUAGCAUAAUAUAGUUUCAUAGAAAUCAGUGAUCAUUUCCCCAUUUAACAAGAAAUAUGGCAUAUCGAUAGAUUAAUAAUAUCCUUUAGAUUCCUGGGUUAUUCAGUAGAUUUAACAGCGUGAACCCUUUGUGGUUAUUUACCGCAGCAUAUGUGAAAUCCGAGUAAUGUUGCUCCACACAAAAAGGCCUUUUGAGAAAGUUUUAAAUUUCUGUAAUUCAUUAUUUGUCUUAAUUAUUAUUCCACAAGUAGAUCAUUUCCAAAUAACCAUUUGUCAUCUCUUAUCUGUCUAUUUGUGACUUGUAACGGACACUAUUCAUCCAAUUACCAUAUUUUCUUUGUUAUAAAUUUGACCCAUAUACUCGUCCACUUCUCACUACUGAUUAAAUAGGUAUAACCUUAGGAACUAUGGGGGCCUUAUUUAUAACGUUAUUUCGUAUUCGUCCAGAAUGGACUUUAAAACAAUAUUCCCUUCAUGUAACAUUUCACUGUUAUUGGUUAAAAUGGAGUACCUUUCAAAGUAGGUCACAAUAAUAUGGAAAGGGCCCACUCAUUGAUGUAGAAGCCGGAGCUGUAACGUCCCGCGGGAUGGGGUGUCUUAGCGAGAGAGAGGGCUGCCAUUUCUAUCAAGCUUGAUCAGGUUCUGGUUGAAAUGUACACAUUUUUACGUCACCGAUAUACAAAUAUGUAUAAAAACAAUGUAACAUAUUACGAACGUGUGUGAGAAAUGGUGCGUGUGUCAUUUAUCUUCAGUCAAGUCAGUCGUAUUUUUUUCAUUUUCCUUGUUAAUGCACAUUUAAAAAAAUUAAAACGAAUUAUCUUUUUCCAUGUGCGUGUUUUUGAGUGUUAAGGGACAUGUUGACGCGAUAUAGACAGAUGGUAUCCGUGUUCUGGGGAAGCUCAUGUCCUAUUCUACUCCUUAUUUCCACUGCUUGUUUGGCCGUUUUACCCUAUGUUUGCUCUCAGGUCUACUAUAAGUGUGCCAAUAACUGUUUGUAUCCUAAUUUAUUCAUUAUAUUGCGUGUCACCUAUUAUGUAAGGGCGGACAUACGUAUGUUCCUACAUAACAAGGGCAGGUCAAUCGCGGGGCGAGUAAUCGAUACCUGGUGUUAUGUUAUGUUUUAAAUAAAACCUUUGUUGAUCUAUGAAGUGUUAUUUGCCCCACUCUCGGGCGUCCUCAUGACCUUUGGUUGACCUCCCUAAUGUAGGAACACGCGACAACACCCACCAAGAGCUGCCCACGUCCCUGCUAUUGUUGUGUGCGGUACACUAGAUACAGCGGCUGACAAGUGACACUUUCCUUUAAUAUGGGAAUGACGGUUUUAUAUCACGGUGAAAUAAAUUCAUCUCAUAAUAA
rnacentral:misc_RNA from 1 species